ACCCCUUUAGCUCAGUUGGCUAGAGCACUUGACUCUUAAUCAAGGUGUCCAGGGUUCGAGUCCCUGAAGGGGUA
rnacentral:tRNA from 1 species